rnacentral:rRNA from 1 species
CCUACGGGUGGCAGCAGUGAGGAAUAUUGGUCAAUGGGCGUAAGGCUGAACCAGCCAAGUCGCGUGAGGGAAGAAGGAUCUAUGGUUUGUAAACUUCUUUUAUAGGGGAAUAAAGGUAUCCACGUGUGGAUAUUUGCAUGUCCCCUGUGAAUAAGCAUCGGCUAACUCCGUGCCCGCAGCCGCGGUAAUACGGAGGAUUCGAGCUUUAUCCGGAUUUAUUGGGUUUAAAGGGUGCGUAGGGUGUUUUUUAAGUCAGCGGGUAAAGUUUGUGGGUCAACCCUAAAAUUGCCGUUGAAACUGGAAGACUUGAGUGUGUUUGAGGUAGGCGGAAUGCGUGGUGUAGCGGUGAAAUGCAUAGAUAUCACGCAGAACUCCGAUUGCGAAGGCAGCUUACUAAGCCAUAACUGACACUGAGGCACGAAAGCGUGGGGAUCAAACAGGAUUAGAUACCCUGGUAGUC